GGGGCCGUAGCUCAAUGGUAGAGCGCCUGCUUCCCAAGCAGGACACGCGGGUUCGAUUCCCGUCGGCCCCUCCA
rnacentral:tRNA from 1 species